UACGUAGGGCGGCAAGCGUUAUCCGGAAUUAUUGGCGUAAAGAGCUCGUAGGCGGUUUGUCGCUGUCUGCCGCUGAAAGUCCGGGCUCGAACUCCGGAUACUGCGGUGGGUACGGGCAGACUAGAGUGAUGUAGGGGUAGACUGGAAUUCCUGGUGUAGCGGUAGAAAUGCGCAGAUAUCAGGAGGAACACCGAUGGCGAAGGCAGGUCUCUGGGCAUUAACUGACGCUGAGGAGCGAAAGCAUGGGGAGCGAACAGG
rnacentral:rRNA from 1 species